GAUUGGCCCGCGUUGGAUUAGCUAGUUGGUGGGGUAAAGGCCUACCAAGGCGACGAUCCAUAGCUGGUCUGAGAGGAUGAUCAGCCACAUUGGGACUGAGACACGGCCCAAACUCCUACGGGAGGCAGCAGUGGGGAAUAUUGGACAAUGGGCGCAAGCCUGAUCCAGCCAUGCCGCGUGAGUGAUGAAGGCCUUAGGGUUGUAAAGCUCUUUCACCGAUGAAGAUAAUGACGGUAGUCGGAGAAGAAGCCCCGGCUAACUUCGUGCCAGCAGCCGCGGUAAUACGAAGGGGGCUAGCGUUGUUCGGAAUUACUGGGCGUAAAGCGCACGUAGGCGGAUAUUUAAGUCAGGGGUGAAAUCCCAGAGCUCAACUCUGGAACUGCCUUUGAUACUGGGUAUCUUGAGUAUGGAAGAGGUAAGUGGAAUUGCGAGUGUAGAGGUGAAAUUCGUAGAUAUUCGCAGGAACACCAGUGGCGAAGGCGGCUUACUGGUCCAUUACUGACGCUGAGGUGCGAAAGCGUGGGGAGCAAACAGGA
rnacentral:rRNA from 1 species